rnacentral:tRNA from 1 species
GUUCCUGUGGCUCAGUGGUAGAGCACUCGCCUCGAACAUGCGAGACCCUGGGUUUGAUCCUCAACAACA